rnacentral:rRNA from 1 species
CCGCAACGAGCGCAACCCUUAUCCUUUGUUGCCAGCGAUUCGGUCGGGAACUCAAAGGAGACUGCCGGUGAUAAACCGGAGGAAGGUGGGGAUGACGUCAAGUCAUCAUGGCCCUUACGGCCAGGGCUACACACGUGCUACAAUGGCGCAUACAAAGAGAAGCGACCUCGCGAGAGCAAGCGGACCUCAUAAAGUGCGUCGUAGUCCGGAUCGGAGUCUGCAACUCGACUCCGUGAAGUCGGAAUCGCUAGUAAUCGUAGAUCAGAAUGCUACGGUGAAUACGUUCCCGGGCCUUGUACACACCGCCCGUCACACCAUGGGAGUGGGUUGCAAAAGAAGUAGGUAGCUUAACCUUCGGGAGGGCGCUUACCACUUUGUGAUUCAUGACUGGGGUGAAGUCGUAACAAGGUAGCCGUA